GAUCCUGGCUCAGGAUGAACGCUGGCGGCGUGCCUAACACAUGCAAGUCGAGCGAAGCGAUCGAGAUGAAGUUUUUGGAUGGAUUCCUGAUUGACUGAGCGGGCGGACGGGUGAAGGUAACGCGUGGGUAACCUGCCCCAUACAGGGGGAUAACAGUUAGAAAUGACUGUUAAUACCGCAUAAGCGCACAGUACCGCAUGGUACCGUGUGAAAAACUCCGGUGGUAUGAGAUGGGCCCGCG
rnacentral:rRNA from 1 species